AUGGCCGUGGGCAGGAGGCUGGAGCUCCUCGUCCUCUCCUCCACAGCCGACAGCUUCCUUCUCGUCUUGGAGGUGGUGUUCGUCGUCUGUUGCCUGGAGGACCCAUACCAGCCAUCGUUCAGGCUACCCAACCAGUUGAUGUGGUGGGCUUUGAUGUGCGGUGCCUUCCCGUGGAGUGCGGUGCUACUGGCGUUACAGAUGAAGUGGCUGUCUUCCGAAGGCUGGGAGCCCACCAAUGUCGAGCUCCUGGUCCUCAUAGCCGUCGAGUGGGUCGUCGCGUGCUCCACCUUCGGCUCGGCGUGCGCCGCCCUCGCCGUCGACCAGCUCGCUAUCCAGCACAGCUACUGCCACCCGGAGGCCACCGUGUGCUUAACGUACCUUGUCGCCGUUGCGACCGCAUGCGCCGCCGGGGCCCUCUCCGCCAUGUCGGCACUCGGGAUGCUCUGGAUCCUCGCCUCCCGGUUCCGCCCGGCUCAUGCGGCCUAG
rnacentral:rRNA from 1 species